rnacentral:rRNA from 1 species
GACGAACGCUGGCGGCGUGCUUAACACAUGCAAGUCGAACGGUGAUGCUCCAGCUUGCUGGAGUGGAUCAGUGGCGAACGGGUGAGUAACACGUGAGCAACCUGCCCCAGACUCUGGAAUAAGCGCUGGAAACGGCGUCUAAUACUGGAUACGAAACUGGCCCGCAUGGGCAUGGUUUGUAAAGUUUUUCGGUUUGGGAUGGGCUCGCGGCCUAUCAGCUUGUUGGUGAGGUAAUAGCUCACCAAGGCGACGACGGGUAGCCGGCCUGAGAGGGCGACCGGCCACACUGGGACUGAGACACGGCCCAGACUCCUACGGGAGGCAGCAGUGGGGAAUAUUGCACAAUGGGCGAAAGCCUGAUGCAGCGACGCCGCGUGAGGGAUGACGGCCUUCGGGUUGUAAACCUCUUUCAGCAGGGAAGAAGCGAAAGUGACGGUACCUGCAGAAGAAGCACCGGCUAACUACGUG